CCUACGGGAGGCAGCAGUAGGGAAUAUUGGGCAAUGGACGCAAGUCUGACCCAGCCAUGCCGCGUGCAGGAAGAAGGCGUUAUGCGUUGUAAACUGCUUUUAUACAGGAAGAAACGACUCUUGCGAGAGGCAUUGACGGUACUGUAUGAAUAAGCACCGGCUAACUCCGUGCCAGCAGCCGCGGUAAUACGGAGGGUGCAAGCGUUGUCCGGAUUUAUUGGGUUUAAAGGGUGCGCAGGUGGUUUAUUAAGUCAGUGGUGAAAGACGGUCGCUCAACGAUUGCAGUGCCAUUGAAACUGGUAGACUUGAGUAAAGUAGAGGUGGGCGGAAUUGAUAGUGUAGCGGUGAAAUGCAUAGAUAUUAUCAAGAACUCCAAUUGCGAAGGCAGCUCACUUGGCUUUUACUGACACUCAUGCACGAAAGUGUGGGUAUCAAACAGGAUUAGAUACCCUGGUAGUCCACACUGUAAACGAUGAUAACUAGGUGUCGGCCGAAUCUGGUCGGUGCCGACAGCGAAGACGUUAAGUUAGUCCGUAACCGUGGGUAGGUUACGCGGCGACGGUUAGAACGUUACGAAGGAAGUAGAGGCGNGAGAGNGCGAGGACGACGACGAGGGAGGAGG
rnacentral:rRNA from 1 species